rnacentral:rRNA from 13 species
GGGGGAUGCCUAGGGUCUCAGAGGCGAAGAAGGACGCGAUAAGCUGCGAUAAGCCGGGGGGAGGAGCACAUAUCCGCUAAUCCCCGGAUUUCCGAAUGGGGCAACCCCGCUGGUUGAAGACCAGUGACCACUCCUUUAGUGGAGUGGGGCAAACGUUGGGAACUGAAACAUCUCAGUACCGACAGGAACAGAAAAUAACAAUGAUUCCCCAAGUAGUGGCGAGCGAACGGGGAGGAGCCCAAACCAGGGUGGUUACGGCCAUUCUGGGGUUGUAGGACCACAAUAUCUGAUUAAACCGAGUUAACUGAAGCAGGUGGGA